AGAGUUUGAUCAUGGCUCAGAAUCAACGCUGGCGGCGCGCUUAACACAUGCAAGUCGAACGGGAAAGUGGAGCAAUCCAUGAGUACAGUGGCGUACGGGUGAGUAACACGUGGGUAAUCUGCCUUCUGGUGGGGAAUAACUUUGGGAAACCGAAGCUAAUACCGCAUAAGCCCGGGAAGGGAAAGCAGGAAACUGCGCCGGAAGAGGAGCCCGCGGCCGAUUAGCUGGCUGGUGAGGUAAAGGCUCACCAGGGCGAAGAUCGGUAGCCGGCCUGAGAGGGCACACGGCCACACUGGCACUGAAACACGGGCCAGACUCCUACGGGAGGCAGCAGUGGGGAAUCUUGCACAAUGGGGGCAACCCUGAUGCAGCGACGCCGCGUGAGCGAUGAAGCCCUUCGGGGUGUAAAGCUCUUUCGACGGGAACGAUAAUGACGGUACCCGGAGAAGAAGCUGCGGCUAACUACGUGCCAGCAGCCGCGGUAAUACGUAGGCAGCAAGCGUUGUUCGGAGUUACUGGGCGUAAAGAGUGUGUAGGCGGUUUGCCGUGUCUGGUGUGAAAUCUCCCGGCUUAACCGGGAGGGUGCGCCGGAAACUGGCAGGCUUGGAGCGUGGGAGAGGAAAGCGGAAUUCCCGGUGUAGCGGUGAAAUGCGUAGAUAUCGGGAGGAACCCUGCGGUGUAGACGGCUUUUCUGGACCACUGCUGACGCUGAGACACGAAAGCGUGGGGAGCAAACAGGAUUAGAUACCCCCGUAGUCC
rnacentral:rRNA from 1 species